rnacentral:tRNA from 1 species
GGUGAGGUGGCCGAGGGCUGAAGGCGCUCCCCUGCUAAGGGAGUAUGCGGUCAAAAGCUGCAUCCGGGGUUCGAAUCCCCGCCUCACCGCCA